CAUACCUCGUGUAUCCUUACAAUGUUCGGGUGAAGUAAAAGCUUCAUUGUCCGAAUCUCUCUUUUCACCUGAAGUGUAUGGCUUUAACGGUAUUAGGAGAUUUUGAAGUUUUCUGUAUCUCAGGUUUCACUUGCACGGAAGAUCAAACUAAGCAAAAGAAGCUUCAAAUGAAGCACAGGGGUUGAGACUCGCCUGAUGCUUAAGAUUGUUUUCCAUCACCAUCUGCUUAUCGAUGACCUUGACGGCAACGGUAUGGCCAUCCGAGCUGUCGAUGGCCAGCUUGACCUUGGCAAAGGUGCCUUCUCCGAUCGUUUGCCGGAGCUGAUACUUCCCUAUAUUGCUGACGGGGGCCAUUUUCCGGUAAUAAAUCGAACGACUCUCCUCUCCUUCUUCGGCUCCCCUUCUUCCAACUUCCUGUGUCUGCCUUUGUCCCUGUCGUUGCCGUCCUUCUUCCUGCUGAGACGGCCAAAAAAGAAAGAAAGCGGAAUUCAAUUAUUCCUCCACACUUCUUGCAGGUGCGCCUUAUAGCCUGGGCGUCCGGAGCCUUUGCUUAAAUGCGAAGUGACCAGAUUUAUCUUGCCCGUCCUCUUCCUUGUAGCGGCCACCCUCGUGGCUCUCAUGUCCUCUGAGAAAAUCCAGCGGUUGAC
rnacentral:lncRNA from 1 species